UACGUAGGGUGCGAGCGUUAAUCGGAUUUACUGGGCGUAAAGAGCUCGUAGGCGGUUUGUCGCGUCUGCCGUGAAAGUCCGGGGCUCAACUCCGGAUCUGCGGUGGGUACGGGCAGACUAGAGUGAUGUAGGGGAGACUGGAAUUCCUGGUGUAGCGGUGAAAUGCGCAGAUAUCAGGAGGAACACCGAUGGCGAAGGCAGGUCUCUGGGCAUUAACUGACGCUGAGGAGCGAAAGCAUGGGGAGCAAACAGG
rnacentral:rRNA from 1 species